rnacentral:antisense_RNA from 1 species
CGUGUUUAAGCAAAAACGUCAGCGGCAGGACAAGCUUUGCGGGAAAUCGUACAGAAAAGCGAGAAUCGAAAAGGAUAACGUGAUUUGGUGCGUCCGAGUGGACUCGAACCACCGACCCCCACCA